rnacentral:rRNA from 1 species
UACAGAGGGUGCGAGCGUUGUUCGGAAUUACUGGGCGUAAAGGGCGCGUAGGCGGCCCGCUAAGUCGAACGUGAAAUCCCCGGGCUCAACCCGGGAACUGCGUCCGAUACUGGCGGGCUUGAAUCCGGGAGAGGGAUGUGGAAUUCCAGGUGUAGCGGUGAAAUGCGUAGAUAUCUGGAGGAACACCGGUGGCGAAGGCGGCAUCCUGGACCGGUAUUGACGCUGAGGCGCGAAAGCCAGGGGAGCAAACGGG